rnacentral:rRNA from 1 species
AGCUCUAAUAGCGUAUAUUAAAGUUGUUGCAGUUGAAAAGCUCCUCGUUGAAUUUUUAGUAGGAUUGUGUUGGUGUUUGCGGGGAAACUCGUAUAACGCUGCCGUCUUAUUACUUUUACAAGUAACUAUGCUAUGUAAUUAAUUUUAUGUAGUUUUAGUCUUGUUCUUUUACUUUGAGUAAAUUAGAGUGUUCAAAGCAGUCUCUUUGGACUUAUUAAUGAAUACCAUUAGCAUGGGAUAAUAGAAUAGGAAUUUUAAACUUGUUUUACUAUUGGUUUUAGUUUAAAAUUAAUGAUUAAUAGGGAUAGUUGGGGGUAUUUGUAUUUAAUUGUCAGAGGUGAAAUUCAUGGAUUUUUGAAAGACAAACUUCUGCGAAAGCAUUUAUCAAGGAUGUUUUCAU